rnacentral:rRNA from 1 species
CAGCAGCCGCGGGAAUACGGAGGGUGCAAGCGUUAAUCGGAAUUACUGGGCGUAAAGCGCACGCAGGCGGUCUGUCAAGUCAGAUGUGAAAUCCCCGGGCUUAACCUGGGAACUGCAUUUGAAACUGGCAGGCUAGAGUCUUGUAGAGGGGGGUAGAAUUCCAGGUGUAGCGGUGAAAUGCGUAGAGAUCUGGAGGAAUACCGGUGGCGAAGGCGGCCCCCUGGACAAAGACUGACGCUCAGGUGCGAAAGCGUGAGGAGCAAACAGGAUUAGAUACCCCAGUAGUCCCUGUCUCUUAACC